rnacentral:rRNA from 1 species
GACGAACGCUGGCGGCGUGCUUAACACAUGCAAGUCAAACGAUGAAGCUAGAGCUUGCUCUGGUGAUUAGUGGCGAACGGGUGAGUAACACGUGAAUAACCUGCCCUUAAUUUCGGAAUAACCCAGGGAAACCUGGGCUAAUACCGGAUAAGUAAACCUGUGGCAUCACAUGGUUUUGGAAAGUUUUUCGAUUAAGGAUGGAUUCGCGGCCUAUCAGCUUGUUGGUGAGGUAAUGGCUCACCAAGGCGACGACGGGUAGCCGGCCUGCGAGGGUGAACGGCCACACUGGGACUGAGACACGGCCCAGACUCCUACGGGAGGCAGCAGUGGGGAAUAUUGCGCAAUGGACGAAAGUCUGACGCAGCGACGCCUCGUGAGGGACGAAGGUCUUCGGAUUGUAAACCUCUUUCAGCAGGGACGAAGCGAAAGUGACGGUACCUGCAGAAGAAGCACCGGCUAACUAUGUGCCAGCCGCCGCUGUAA